UAAAAAGGACCGGAUGGAAGGGCUCAUUAGGCGCUUGGGAUUGCUUCUUUAUAAGCAAGGGACUCCUGGUGCUCUUUCCAGGAGACCAACGCCAGCCCAAGCCGGGCAUCCCCGGCAUCCCAGCCAUAGUUUCCUAUUCUCUCUCUCUCUCUCUCUCUCUCUCUCUCUCUCUCGCUCCCCCCCUCCCUCCCUCCCUCACUCUCUCUCCCUCUCUCGGAGCUAAUAUUUGUAUCGCUCCCUUUGUUUUGCACUCUAGCAGAGGAGCUACUAUUUUGAACUGCUCCAUCUCUACCACUCCCCCCUCUCUUCCCCGACUCUCCGGCCUUACAAAACUUCUCCCUCCUAUCCCUUAACCGUUGUGACGGAAUCUUGCUUGUCCCCCUUCUUCCACCCUCUACACCUCCUUCAUCCAUUUCGGAAGUUUCCAAUUGCAUGCUGGCUUUCAUACGGUGACCACAUCUCGUGUUGCCACCCCCUCUCCUAUUCUCUGAUAAGCACAAGCCUCACAAACCUCCCCUCCUCUUCCCUCACCAACCUGCGGUCCCUUCAUCCUUCCGACCGGUGACAGCAUCUCCGCAUCUCCCCUGUCCAUCUCCUAAGCCGCCCGCCAGACUUUUUAUUCCUGGAGACGGCAUGGAGUCGGCCGACGGCAUAGCACGAGAGGGAAGCUUCGAUGGCAGCGGAGGAAGGCUUUCCCAGAAGCUAGCUUUGCGAGGACUCUUCCUGAUGUCACUGGCUCUGGCAUCUCUCUUCCACCCAGCACUAGAAGCGCUCUCGGCUCGCGAUUCCUUCCCCGCGGCCUUCUAUGGCCUUGCUCUCUGUGUUCUCUUCCUCUCUGGCCUGGGGUAUGUGCUGCUGAGCGUGUGCGCUUCCGACCACCCCACUUCACAGAGUGCCCUGGCCAAGCAACUUGUCAAGUGAAAGAUGACUGCAACCAGGUUCCUGUUAUUGCUAUAUCCUUUUGCCUAGAUUGCAAAGGAUCACUAUCCAUAGAGUAUAUGUAUGCAAAAUAUAAAGAAAAUAUAAAAAAGGGGACUCUACUAAUAUAUGAUGUAAUCCAGAUAAAGUGAAGUGGAGCUUCCAUGAGAUCAUGAUAAGAGACAUGGUAGAGGCUCCUGCUAUAUUUGAUGAAAUAUAACGCUUCUUUACUUUCUUAUCA